UCCAGACUCCUACGGGAGGCAGCAGUGGGGAAUAUUGCAGAAUGGGGGAAACCCUGAUGCAGCGACGCCGCGUGAGUGAUGAAGUAUUUCGGUAUGUAAAGCUCUCUCAGCAGGGAAGAAAAUGACGGUACCUGACUAAGAAGCCCCGGCUAACUACGUGCCAGCAGCCGCGGUAAUACGUAGGGGGCAAGCGUUAUCCGGAUUUACUGGGUGUAAAGGGAGCGUAGGCGGUGCAGCAAGUCAGAAGUGAAAGCCCGGGGCUCAACUCCGGGACUGCUUUUGAAACUGGUGAACUAGAUUGCAGGAGAGGUAAGUGGAAUUCCUAGUGUAGCGGUGAAAUGCGUAGAUAUUAGGCGGAACCCCAGUGGCGAAGGCGGCUUACUGGACUGUAAAUGACGCUGAGGCUCGAAAGCGUGGGGAGCAAACGGGAUUAGAUCCCCUCGUA
rnacentral:rRNA from 1 species